GAUGAAGAACGUAGCGAAAUGCGAUAAGUAAUGUGAAUUGCAGAAUUCAGUGAGUCAUCGAAUCUUUGAACGCACCUUGCGCUCUUUGGUAUUCCGAAGAGCAUGCCUGUUUGAGUGUCAUGAAAAUAUCAACCUUGACUUGGGUUUUGUGCUCUAGUCUCGGCUUGGAAUUGGGUGCUUGCCGCUUUUACGAGCGGCUCACCUUAAAUGUAUUAGCUGGAUCUGUCUUUGAGACUUGGUUUGACUUGGCGUAAUAAGUAUUUCGCUAAGGACAUUCUUCGGAGUGGCCUCGUUUCUAGGACGCUUGUCCGCUUUCCAAUACAAGUUCCACCUCGUGGACAUGACUUUUUAUUAUCUGGCCUCAAAUCAGGUAGGACUACCCGCUGAACUUAAGCAUAUCAAUAAGCGGAGGA
rnacentral:misc_RNA from 1 species